AGUAAUUUUGAAGUUUUUAUUGACUUAAAAAUUAAAAGUCAGUAAAAACAAAUAUUCUAACAAUUUAAAAAUCUGUCAUAUUUCAGUUGAGAGAUUUUCUUUUUAAGCCGAGAUGUAAUUGACAUGUAACAUUGUAUUAGUUUAAGACAGACAAGUUUAACAUCCAUCGCCACACACAGUUACAACUUGUGUUUUUCUUGUGAUGAGGACUUUUAAGAUCUACUUCCUUAGCAACUUUCAAAUACAAUUCAGUGUUUUUAACUAUACUCACCAUGUUUGUACUUUAUUUCCCAGAAGUUAUUUGUCUUUUUUUUUUUUUUUUUUUUUUUUUGCGGAACGCGGGCCUCUCACUGUUGUGGCCUCUCCCGUUGCAGAGCACAGGCUCCGGACGCGCAGGCUCAGCGGCCACGGCUCACGGGCACAACCGCUCCGCAGCACGUGGGAUCCUCCCGGACCGGGGCACGAACCCGUGUCCCCUGCAUCGGCAGGUGGACUCUCAAUCACUGCGCCACCAGGGAAGCCCAAGUUAUUUGUCUUUUAACUGGAGAAAAGCUAGGUCUCAAGGCUUGAUUGGAUUCAGGUUAAAUAUUUCUGACAAGAAUACUUCAGAGAUGUUGUGAACUUCAUGUUGCAUCAUAUCAGGAGAACAUGCUGUCAGACUGCCACGCUCUUACUGAUGUUAAGUUUGAUUACUUGGCUAAGCUCUCUUUCCCAGCCAGCUUCCAGAUUCUCGGAGUGCAGAGGCUGCACCUUGUUGUGUGGCUCGCCAGUGUCUUGUGCGUGAAGGAUGCUCAGGGAACGUGGAAGAUGGUCCUGGUGCUUCACCUACACCUUUCGGCACAAUCCCAGACAAGAAAAUACCUCUGGUACAGCUAGCUCAUGUUGUUUGAUGGCCUUUAAGGAUGAACAAGACAAGCUUUAACCAUAGUUAAUAUAUGAUGAUGGCAAAAAUAACUGACGUCUGGCAAAAAAUGAGUUAGCUACCUUAUUAUUCAAGAAUGAUGAUCCAAGUAGUGGAUUGUCUGGGCCUCUGGCUCUCCUCUCCUUUGUAAGGGGAAGUGAGGACAGAGGAAUGAAGACUUUUCAGUCUGGGUGUAGAUGCCAGUUGCUCAUAUCAGUCUGGUCAAACGCAGCUCUUGAAAGUCUUUUCUCUGUGUGUAGUAAAUGACAAUCAAGGGUUGGGGGAAGGGUUGAUUGUUUCUUAUACCAUCUUUGAAAGUCUUUACUCAUGUUUUAUUUCUAGGAAUUAAAAAUAAAAAUUUGGUUCACUGGUAAUUUAAAGAAUUAUAUAUUGUUAACUUUUUUGAAAGUUAGCUUUAUCAAGGUAUAAUUAAAAUAAUCUAGUUUUUGAACAUUUCUAUCACCUCAAAAAGUUUCCUCGGGCUUCCCUGGUGGCGCAGUGGUUGAGAGUCCGCCUGCCGAUGCAGGGGACACGGGUUCGUGCCCCGGACUGGAAAGAUCCCACAUGCCGCGGAGCGGCUGGGCCCGUGAGCCAUGGCCGCUGAGCCUGCGCAUCCGGAGCCUGUGCUCCACAACGGGAGAGGCCACAACAGU